rnacentral:lncRNA from 1 species
AUUUCGGUGUAUAACAAGUUUAAUAAUGAUAUAUAGUGACAUGUGUACAGUAAUAGGUUAUAUAUAUAGUGUAUAUAUCUUGUAUAAUAGUCCCAAAUAUAGACCUUCUAAAAAUUAAAUCUGACCAUUUUCCGUACGCUCGUCGUAUUGCGUGCGAGUACCAGAUGACAUGUUGUGAAGCAGCUAUACUAUUGAAGAUAAACUUCAACAACACACUUUUUUUCAUACAAGAUAUGUUUUUAGAACUGAAAGUCGCAUUUUGUUCUUAUGUUGAAAAGAAACCAACAAAUAUUUGUUUUAAAAAAUUCUGAAACUCUCCCCCUCCAUCUUUUUGUCCAUCUGAUGGGUUAAGCCUAUUUCAACUGAUUUUGGUAGUUCGUUCUUAUGUUGUACUGUUAUACCACUGUCCCAGAUAAGGGAAGGGUAGGGAUCCCGCCACAUUUUUUAUGUACAUGUAUGUGUCUGUCCCAAGUCAGGAGCCUGUAAUUCAGUAGUUGUCGUUUGUUUAUAUGUUACAUAUUUAUUUUUCGUUCAUUGUUUUUGUUAUAUGAAUAACUUACAUUUGUCGGUUUGUGGGUCAGGGGGAAGGAGGAAAGGAAGGACUGCAUGACUUCACCCUUGUCUAUCAUCUUUUUAAAAUGUUACAAUCAAAGAAAACUAGUUUCAAUCUAUAUUUCCAUAUGAAUCCUUAAAAGUUUGCAUAGACCAUGAUGACUCCAAGAUUUCGAAACAAAGCUGUGUGUCUUUCUUUUGGGCGCCUUUAAGUUAAUAUUUGCAGUAAAUAUGAUGACCAAAUUAUGUGCAUGUUAAAUAUGAUGAUUGCCUGAAUUUGUUUUUGUAUUUUUUAUUUCAACUUAUUUUUGUUGUAACGUUGCUGUCAUGUUCCAUUAUACAAAUACUUUUAUUCUUGGGUCAAGAUGAAGAUAUUGCAUUUUGUUUCAUGUACAGUGGCAAAUACUUGCAUGAUGAGAACAAGGUAUCAAUAGAUUAAAAAAAUGGAAAACAACGUUUAAUAAUUUAUUGCGUCCGAAGCCCUUUUCUGGAUUUACCUUCAUCAAGAACGCUCAUACUCAAACAUUUGAAAUCCGCAGAUGGACUGUCAUAACCGAAAAUCGUCGAAGAGCUAUACGUAGGUCCUUUAAUAGGGAUUGAUCGGGGAAAAGUAGAGGAAUUUCGACAACCACCAUCUGAAAAUGUGUGUAUAAGGAAUAAGGACAUAAUUUUUCUCCAUUGCAUCAGCAUGCAGUCCACACAUGUUCACAAAUUAACAAUAGUUGUUGCAAAAGUUCUUGACAUGCAGUAAGCGUGAAACUCUUCCUUCCCGAGGCCACUGACUCGUCCCUAUUGUAAUCAUAUCAUUGUAUUAUAUGAUUUACCAUUUAUUCAAUAGGGUCAUAUUAAGAUAAUAUUAUAUAAGUAUCUUCUUCUGAAAACGGUAGAGUUUAACUUCCCUGAAUAUCUUCCGGACUAUUUCCAAAGAGUCGUCGUCAUUAACAAAAUAAAAAGAAAGAUAUCUUCUAGGGUAUAUUUUUUGAAGUUCUAACCAAAACAUUAUUGCGUUUCUUAAAAUUUGUUAACCUUAUUAUGUGCCACAGCAGCUUUUCGGAUAAAUUGAUACAGGUAUGCACACAAUGAUUAAGAAGAAUAGCAUACUUUACCAAAAACGAAUAAAAUGAAAACAGGAAAUUGCCGAAGACAACAAUCUGACCAAAUAGCAGAAUAAAGACAACGAAUGUAUAUUAAUUCUUUGACCUGAACGCCACACUUAAAUCCGAAAGCAAAGCUAUUAUGUUUUUUCAGAUGCAUAUCAAUUAAAGUUAUUUUAAGGAAAUGUCUUUCAAUGCAAAAUUUUGAAUAUCAUUUUAUAUAUUUUUUUUAAACUGUCAC